UUUCAAAGGCCCUGAAUUCGAUCACUUAGUUCGAACGUGGGUUCUACGAGGCAUAGAACACGAUCCCCCGCCCGCCGCCGAUCCACGUGAGCCGGCUGAUUGCGCAAUAGUGCACGCUGACUUUGACUCCCGUGCAGGCAUGCAUAUCCGGGUCACAGGCGCUUCAUAUUUCAGAGGCAACAUGGCCACGGUAGAAGGAACACGUGAACGUAAAAAAACACCCGAAAAUGCGCAUUUUCUUGGUCAGAGCCGCAUUUUCCCCGUAGAAGAGUGGAUAAGUGCCUUCGUCAUUGAACAUCCGACUUAGGCUUGACAAGUGCUGGGAGAAAAUGAAGUACCAGGAAUGAGAAGAGGAUGACAACUCACACAAGUCCUUAUUCAAGGUAGCCCCAAGGCCAGACUAUGCUGACAACAAAUUGCAUGCUGCAUCCUUUAUUCAAAACAAGUCUUUACAAGGAUCAUGAACUAAUUUAUACAAUGCAACAAGAUAAGUGAGUUAAAAAGGUUACUUCACAGAAGCAAAAUUCCUCUUUUAAUCUGUCAACAGACUGAACAUUUGUCAUAUCAUGAUGCUAGGAGGCAGUGA